GCCUAACACAUGCAAGUCGAACGGAACUCUUUGGAUCAAGGCUUCGGCCAAGUGAAUUUGAGUUUAGUGGCGAACGGGUGAGUAACGCGUGAGCAACCUGCCUUUCGGAGGGGGACAACAGUUGGAAACGACUGCUAAUACCGCAUAACACAUUUAGGGGGCAUCCCCUGAAUGUCAAAGAUUUAUCGCUGAAAGAUGGGCCCGCGUCUGAUUAGCUAGUUGGUGGGGUAACGGCCCACCAAGGCGACGAUCAGUAGCCGGACUGAGAGGUUGAACGGCCACAUUGGGACUGAGAUACGGCCCAGACUCCUACGGGAGGCAGCAGUGGGGAAUAUUGGGCAAUGGGGGCAACCCUGACCCAGCAACGCCGCGUGAAGGAAGAAGGCUUUCGGGUUGUAAACUUCUUUUACCAGGGACGAAGACGUGACGGUACCUGGAGAAAAAGCCACGGCUAACUACGUGCCAGCCGCCGCAGUAAAAC
rnacentral:rRNA from 1 species